UCCCGGUGUCUUUCUUCUAUCUGUGUGUCUCUGUGUUCAAAUUUCCAUCUUUUAUAAGGACACUAGCCCCACAGUGGCUUCUUGAUGACUCGGUGGCCCCGGGAGAAGCUGGUAGGGCUCCCAUCGCUCCUUUGUGAAGAUCAGCCUGUGCCUCUCCUUGGAAGCUGACCUCGGCUGGGGAUCCUUCCCGUCUUGCUCCUGACCAGCAGCCCGAUGUCUCUCCCCAGCUACCUGGCCAACGACACGGAGGAGGACGACGAGGGCCCCAAACAGGUCAUCCUUUGGCUCCUCUAUAGGAACGACCAUUCCCAGCAUCUUCUUUUCCACCAAUGAUCCAAGCGUUUGACCCAGAGCUCCUGGUGUGGAGGCGAGACCGCAGUCUGCUUGCUGUGUGAGCGCUCCCGGGACCAUGGAGGCGUGGGCUCACCGGCCCAGAAGGGAAGUCUGGAUCCUCAGGUGCAGACAGAGCACCUCGUUGUGUCUGCUUAGGAAGUCACCCUUCCAGACACUGACUUAGCACUCAGCCAAAGGCCAAGGACACACACAGCUCGACUUCUGAGACCAGGGUGCCAGCAAGGCCAGGUUCUGGUGAAGACCCUCUUCUGGGAUGCAGACGGCCAACUUCUCAUGAUGUCCUCACAUGGUGGGAGAAGCAAGCGAGCUCCCUGGAAUCUCUUUUAUAAGGGCACUAAUCUCAUCCAUGAGGGCCCCUAUGACCUGAUCACCUCCCAAAGAUCAUUGAGCCCGGGGAAGAUGCACGUUUUCAGCAGGAAGUCGAUCCAGACAGUUAUGGGGGGAAGUGAGGAGCCUCUUGUGAGGAUAAUCUAGAAGAAGCCAGAAUCUUCUAGAAUGAGAUGGAGCGUCAUGUCAUACUCCUGGGAUUUGUGGCUACUUCUAGGAGUCUGUGGAGAAUAAUAAGGAACCAGAGUUUUUCCAGAUUCCAUCCCUUCCUAAGGCACUACCGGAAUUUUCAGACUGUUUCAUUCAAAUCUCCCCUGAGGUAGAAGUUGGAGGUCCUGAUUUUUCACGCAUUUGGUUGCCACAAUCUAGAACCAUUUGAAGGUGGAGUAAAGGGACUCAGAUUGGGAGGGAACUAUUUUAAAAAUAUGAAAUUAGAGACAUAGGAUUGUAAUAGAUAGCCUAUCAUGUGCCAAAAAGAGCACACAUUUUGUAAAUGUUUAUUUUGAACAUGUUGCCUUAAGGAUUAUAUUAAUUUUUAUAUUCUGUACUUAUACAUUUAUCUUAACUAGUUUUGAAAGAGUCAUGGUUUGAAAAGAUGCUGUUCUUACAAAGUCUUGUGACAUAAUUCUAGCUGUUACAUAUACACAGAGUUUUGUUUACAUUCUUCAGGGGGUUUCUGUGUUUUUAUUAUAUUUAUAUAAUAUAUCAUUUAUGCUUACAGUGAAGUAGGUAGUACUUUCAAGUUCCUGUAAAUACAUAUUUUUAUAUUUAGUCUUCAUUAUUAAUUUGUAAGCAUUCCAUUGUAAUUUUUUAAAACUUGCCUUGAAGACAUCUUUGUAUAUUGUUUUAGAUUAUGAAAGACAGUCGUGCAGUGCAUCUGAGGGGAAAUGUAAUAAAG